rnacentral:rRNA from 1 species
GUAACACGUGGGUGAUCUGCCCUGCACUUCGGGAUAAGCUUGGGAAACUGGGUCUAAUACCGGAUAUGACUACAGGCUUCAUGGUUUGUGGUGGAAAGCUUUUGCGGUGUGGGAUGGGCCCGCGGCCUAUCAGCUUGUUGGUGGGGUAAUGGCCUACCAAGGCGACGACGGGUAGCCGGCCUGAGAGGGCGACCGGCCACACUGGGACUGAGACACGGCCCAGACUCC